rnacentral:misc_RNA from 1 species
CCUAAACCUACUUUUGCCAAUCUCAAAACCAACACAAGGUCCCACUACCUCCUAAAUUAAAAGCUUUUCAUUGUUUUUUCUUUUUUCUUUUUUCUACUUUAUCCGUAUCCCAAAUAUUUAAAGAAACAACAUUUUCCAAUUGCUAUCUUCUCCCUCAAUACUUGCUUUAUAGGUUUUCCUUCAAAUUACUGGUCAAAAGAUGCUUCCUCUUCCACCUCCAUCACCCUCGGUACAAUCAGCAGCACCACCUUCUGGAAAUCAGAAAACAUCAAAGCAAGAAAGAAGCCAACAAAGUCCAGCAGCAGCACUCACACGAAAUUAUGACAGCAAAAGAUUAAGAAAGCCAAUUCUCUUGCAUCCUAGACCCCGUCGGACCAACCCAGUUGUAUGGUUUGGUGCAAUUCUAUGUCUCUUAUUCAGUCUUAUUCUCAUCCUUUUUGGUAUUGCAACUUUGAUUAUCUACCUUUCUAUUAAACCCCGAAGCCCUGUGUUUGACACUCCCAAUGCAAACCUAAACGCCAUCUACUUCGACUCACCAGAGUAUUUCAAUGGGGAUAUCACCUUCCUAGCAAAUUUUUCCAACCCAAACCAGAAAAUUGAUGUAAGAUUUGAGUAUGUGGAUAUAGAGCUAUAUUUUUUCGACAGACUCAUAGGAACUCAAUCUCUUCAACCUUUUACCCAGAGACAAAAGGAAAAGAGGUUGGAAUCAAUUCACAUCAUAUCGAGUUUGGUCUAUUUACCCCAUAAUCUUGCUACAGAACUUCAAAAGCAGGUGGAGAACAACAAAGUCAUAUACAACAUAAGAGGAACUUUCAAAGUGAAAGCAACCCUGGGUUUGUUCCAUUAUUCAUACUGGUUACAUGGAAGGUGUGAAUUAGAGAUGACAGGUCCACCAACUGGUGUUUUAAUCGCCCGAAGUUGCAAAACAAAAAGAUAAUGAAUCAGAAGAAUUUUGCUUUUGCUUUUCCUUCCUUGUCUGGAUUGAAAUCUGAAAUUCUGAAUAGAAGUUUUGAUAUCAAAGUGCCUGAUAAUCAUGCAAACAAUAGAACAGAAUUCUUGUAUAUUGUAUCUUAGCCCAAAGAUGAUAUUUUGAAACCUAAUGAACAGUUUCAUGGGGGACAGCCAUAGAUCAGGGUUUUUUUUUUUUUUUUU